rnacentral:lncRNA from 1 species
AGGCCCUGCAUGAAGCCCAUACGACUUUGACGUUGGUUACGUGAAAGUUGAAGAAAAGACCUCUACAAUUUUGGUUGGAUCAAUGAGAUCUGUCGGUGAGGCGUCCAACUAGUUAUAUUAGUCUAGCUUUAAUCUUUUGCUUUUAGCUUCUAGAUACGGCUUCUAUUUUAGAUUUAGUCUUCCAUCGCUCCACUAUUUCGACUUUAUAGUUCUAAUUUUUAUUUAAGCCUUCUAGUUGUUUUAUUUUCUAGUUAUUUUCUUUUUUCUUUCUUUGACAAUUACUGUAAAAAAAUUAAUAUAUAUUUAAUUAAUUAUUUAUUUUUUGCAAUUCCAGAAGGCCUUAAAUCUUAUGCUAGG